rnacentral:rRNA from 1 species
UUGACGGGGACCCGCACAAGCGGUGGAUGAUGUGGUUUAAUUCGAUGCAACGCGAAAAACCUUACCCACCUUUGACAUGUACGGAAUCCUUUAGAGAUAGAGGAGUGCUCGAAAGAGAGCCGUAACACAGGUGCUGCAUGGCUGUCGUCAGCUCGUGUCGUGAGAUGUUGGGUUAAGUCCCGCAACGAGCGCAACCCUUGCCAUUAGUUGCUACGAAAGGGCACUCUAAUGGGACUGCCGGUGACAAACCGGAGGAAGGUGGGGAUGACGUCAAGUCCUCAUGGCCCUUAUAGGUGGGGCUACACACGUCAUACAAUGGCUGGUACAGAGGGUUGCCAACCCGCGAGGGGGAGCUAAUCCCAUAAAGCCAGUCGUAGUCCGGAUCGCAGUCUGCAACUCGACUGCGUGAAGUCGGAAUCGCUAGUAAUCGCGGAUCAGAAUGUCGCGGUGAAUACGUUCCCGGGUCUUGUACACACCGCCCGUCACACCAUGGGAGCGGGUUCUGCCAGAAGUAGGUAGCCUAACCGUAAGGAGGGCGCUUACCACGGCAGGGUUCGUGACUGG